rnacentral:rRNA from 1 species
UUUUUGCGGAGAGUUUGAUCCUGGCUCAGGAUGAACGCUGGCGGCGUGCUUAACACAUGCA